GGAAGUCUGAGCCCAGCUGCGCGGGCGCCUCCCAGCCCGGGAUCCGGAAGUCUGAGCCCAGCUGCGCGGGCGCCUCCCAGCCCGGGAUCCGGAAGUCUGAGCCCAGCUGCGCGGGCGCCUCCCAGCCCGGGAUCCGGAAGUCUGAGCCCAGCUGCGCGGGCGCCUCCCAGCCCGGGAUCCGGAAGCCUAAGACGAGCUGCGCGAGAGCAUUUGCUGCCGAACAGAGUUGUCUUGUUGCUGACUCUUCUCACAACCUCGCCGGAAGUAUAGGAAGAGAGCCAGCAGAUUUGAACCUAUGUGCUUUCAAGCUGGUCAUCACGAUGAAACUUAGACACAAAAAUAAAAAGCCAGGUAAAAGUUCGAAGGGCCACAAGAAGCCUGCAAAGGAAAAUGGGAAGAAAGCAACCUCCAAAGUGCCCUCUGCACCUCAUUUGGUUCACUCCAAUGAUCAUGCCAAUCGAGAGGCUGAAUUAAAGAGGAAAAGGGUUGAGGAGAUGAGGGAGAUGCAGCAAGCUGCCUGGGAGCAAGGAAGACAAAAACGCAGGACCAUCGCGAGUGACUGCCAGGAUGUCCUGAGAUGCCAGCAGGAGUUUGAGCAGAAGGAGGAAGUUCUGCAGGAAUUAAAUAUGUUUCCUAGGCUGGAGGACGAGGCCACAAGGAAGGCUUAUUACGAGGAGUUCCAUAAGGUGAUGGAAUACUCUGAUGAGAUUCUGGAAGUCCUGGAUGCCAGUGUCCCAUUAAAUGGAGGAGGCUGUCUUGAGAGCACAAGGCAACAAGAAGCUGGUCCUUAUCUUGAACAAGAGUGACCUGGUCCCCAAGGAGGUUGUGGAGAAAUGGCUGGAUUACAUUCAGAAUGAGUUGCCAACCAUGGCUUUCAAGGCCAAUACCCAGCAUCAGGUCAAAUACCUGAAUCAUUGCAGUGUACCAGCAGAUCAGGCCUCUGAGUCACUGCUGUAAAGCAAAGCUUGCUUUGGAGCUAAAAAAACCUCAUGAAGGUUCUGGAGAACUAUUGUCGCCUUGGUGACGUGUGCACCCACAUUCAUGUGAGCGUUGUGGGUCUUCCCAAUGUUCAGAAGAGCAGCCUGAUCAAUAGGCAGAAGCGCAGCCAUGCAGGCAGCGUGGAAGCCAUUCCUGGGAUUACCAAAUUCAUGCAGGAGGUCCACCUGGACAAGUUCAUCCAGCUGCUGGAUGCUCCAGGCAUUGUCCCAAGGCCCCACUCAGAGGUGGGCACCAUCCUACGUAACUGCGUCGACGUGCAGAAGCUGGCAGACCCUGUGACCCCGGUGAGAACCACCCUGCAGUGCUGCAGCCUGUAGCAGAUUUCCAACAACUACCGUGUCUCUGGGUUCUAGACCACUGAGCACUUUCUCACUGCAGUGGCACACUGUUUGGGGAAGAAGAAGGGAGGCUUAUACAGUCAGGAACAGGUGGCCAAAGCUGUCCUAGCUGACUGGGUCAGCGGGAAAAUCAGCUUCUAUAUGCCACCAGCACCUACUCACACUCUGCCCACCCAUCUCAGUGCUAAGAUCGUUAAGGAAAUAACCACAGUCUUUGACAUCGAGGAUACUGCUCUGGCCAAUGAAGAUACCAUGGAAUGCUUGGCUGCUGGAGAAUCUGAUGAGCUGUUGGGUGACAUGGACCCACUUGAAAUGGAGAUCAAGUUGCUCCAUUGUCCAAUGAUAAAAAAGGCAGAUGCCACUGAAAAUAAAACCACUGUAUAUACGAUCAGAGAUCUCACUGGGUAUUGCCCCAAUUUGAAUCAUCAUCAGAUUGGGUGGGCCAAAUGCAACGUGAACCACCACCCUAAGAACAACAAUAUGGUGGAUGUCUGCUCAGUGGACCACCGCCUAGUGCUGCAGAGGAUCAUGGAGACGGAUCCCCUGCAACAGGGCCAGGCUCUGGCAUCCACCCUGAAGAAUAAGAAGAAGAUGCGGAAAUGUGCAGAUAAAAUCGCCAGCAGGUGUCUGAUUCCAUGAUGUCUGCUCUGGACCUCUCUGCCAAUGGUGAUGAUGGUGUUGGUGACUAAUUGGCUGAUCUCACUUCCCUUCCAUUCCAAGCACCAGUUCCAGUGGUGCGGGGGAAUACCAAUGAAAUAGUUUUGCUCUCCCUGAAGCACCUACAUAUUAAAAGAAUGCUUCCCCCACUAUGUGUCUUCUCCCACUUCUCCGGUAAAGAGUCCUGGCUAGGCUCAGUGGCUCACGCCUGUAUCCCAGUACUUUGGGAGGCCGAGGCAGGCAGAUCACCUGAGGUCAGGUUGAGACCAGCCUGGCCAACAUGGUGAAACCCUUUCUCUACUUAAAAAAAAAAAAAUAGCUGUGCGUGGUGGCAGGUGUCUGUAAUCCCAGCUACUUGGGAGGCUGAAGCAGGAGAAUCUCUUGAACCCAGGAGGUGGCGGUUGCAGUGAACCAAGAUGGUGCCAUUGCACUCCAGCUUGGGCAACACGAAUGAAACUCCAUCUCAAAAAAAAAAGAGCCCCAAGGGGCUGAAGCUGCAAAAUC